UACCCCGGCUGGGACUUAAGCAUAUCAAUAAGCGGAGGAAAAGAAACCCAACAGGGAUUGCCCUAGUAACGGCGAGUGAAGCGGCAACAGCUCAAAUUUGAAAUCUGGCUUCGGCCCGAGUUGUAAUUUGUAGAGGAAGCUUUUGGUGAGGCACCUUCUGAGUCCCCUGGAACGGGGCGCCAUAGAGGGUGAGAGCCCCGUAUAGUCGGAUGCCGAUCCAAUGUAAAGCUCCUUCGACGAGUCGAGUAGUUUGGGAAUGCUGCUCAAAAUGGGAGGUAAAUUUCUUCUAAAGCUAAAUACCGGCCAGAGACCGAUAGCGCACAAGUAGAGUGAUCGAAAGAUGAAAAGCACUUUGAAAAGAGGGUUAAAUAGCACGUGAAAUUGUUGAAAGGGAAGCGUUUGUGACCAGACUUGCGCCGUUCCGAUCAUCCGGUGUUCUCACCGGUGCACUCGGGACGGCUCAGGCCAGCAUCGGUUUUGGCGGGGGGAUAAAGGUCCGGGGAACGUAGCUCCUCCGGGAGUGUUAUAGCCCCGGGCGUAAUGCCCUCGCCGGGACCGAGGUUCGCGCAUCUGCAAGGAUGCUGGCGUAAUGGUCAUCAACGACCCGUCUUGAAACACGGACCAAGGAGUCAAGGUUUUGCGCGAGUGUUUGGGUGUAAAACCCGCACGCGUAAUGAAAGUGAACGUAGGUGAGAGCUUCGGCGCAUCAUCGACCGAUCCUGAUGUAUUCGGAUGGAUUUGAGUAAGAGCGUUAAGCCUUUGGACCCGAAAGAUGGUGAACUAUGCUUGGAUAGGGUGAAGCCAGAGGAAACUCUGGUGGGAGGCUCGCAGCGGUUUCUGACGUGCAAAUCGAUCGUCAAAUCUGAGCAUGGGGGGCGAAAAGACUAAAUCGAAACCAUCUAGUAGCUGGGUUACCUGCCCGAAGUCCCCCCUCCAGGGAA
rnacentral:rRNA from 1 species